GCACUGCUUCCUGUUGUUUUUACCAGCUUCCCUCCAGUUGUACGUGCUUGGAAUUCUGCACUUAGUCUUAGGAAGCUAAUCAGCCACAUGUGCCCUGGCGGUGGUCAGGUUUUGAACCAUUUUCUCACAAUUUGAAUGAGUCUCCUCAAGAUGUUUGCCCCUCGAAUCUGUUGAUCAAGCCCGGCAGUGAUGCAGGUUGGCCCUGAGCUCACCAGCAGCAUUUCUGUCCAGAUCCCAACCCAUUCUGAGACAGCUGCGCUUACAGCAUCCAGACAGUCCUGGCUGAGGCCAUAAAAAAGAGAUGGAUGGACCCAUGCAAACGCCACAGGCUCCUAGGCCUUGCAGCUCAUCCGAAGUAACUGGAAAAUCAUGCUGGAGCUUGGAUCCCAGGGUGGCGAUUGGUUUGGUGACGCUUGCUGGAGCUGUCAUCCUCCUGCUCCUCUACAGACUCUUACAAACACGGCACAGGUUGAGGAUGGUGAGUGCGAGGCAUGCUCUGGAGUACCAUAGCUUCUACCACACCGCCACCUACACACUCAAACAUCCUUCGUCCUACGAGAAGCUGCCAGCUCAAAAUGACAGACUUCCUGAUUCUUCACCACCUGUCCAAACUGUUGCCACAGCCGCAGCGCCGGCCCCACCAGUAGCUCGUACACUCCCCCCAGCACCUGCCUAUCCACCAGCACCUUCACUUCCGAAGACACCUUCUCUCCAGACUCUUCCUCUGCCUGUGAUCCACACCACUCCACCAAGCCCCCACCUGUCAUGGGGAGCUUGCUCAGAAGUAGAUGUGUACUCUCGUAUUGGAGCUUAUCGGCCCUCCAGGCUCUCGAGCCUCUCGAGCCACUCAAAGGUCAUUCUUUUUGAACACUCAUUUCUCUGACCUGAGUGGAAGUGGAAGAUGGUAGAUAGGACGUAUCGCAAAUGUACCCUAAAUACUGCAUGACUGACAAGCUAUACAACUUAAAACUGCUCGACUUUGCUUUUAAAAAUUCUUCACCGUUUCUGUUUUUAUCUUAUCUACAUUCAUUUAGUAGGUAAAAACCCCUGGGACAGCCCCACCGAUAUGCAGGAAGUCCUGCGUAAUGAAGCAAAGGAAGACAUGGACUGUGGUCUUUCUUGUACAGAGGAUAUUAUAGUAUAGUUAUAUAGACAUGUGUUGUACACAUAUACAAUUGUGUCGAUAUUUGUUAUGAAUAUUAAGCAUUAAAAGUAUCCCUUAAAACAGCGAUCAUCAACCUUUUUGAGCCCAAGAUCCUUGGUCUUGAGAACCCUCCCCCCACUUCCCCCACCCACUGUGAUACUUACAGCAAUCCCUCGUUUAUCACAAUUAAUUGGUUCCAGACCUGAUCGUGAUAAGUGAAUUUCCGCAAAGUAGGAUUUCUUAUUUUUAAAUAAAAUAUUUUUGUAGUUAGGACAUCCAAAAACCUGUUUACAACCUUCUACCUUCUAAAUAUGUUUUUUUUUUAACAUUGUUAGAGCCCUCUAUACCAGUGGUCCCCAACCUUUUUUGACCCACAAAUCUCCCGCGUACCGGGGGGGGGGAUUUGUACAUUAUAGCGAUCUAAUUUAUCUUAUUUAUUAUGUAUUGUGUAAAACUAAGACAUAAAUAACAUAAAAUUAAAAGCACAAAAUGAAUGCCGACCCACCAUCCACCAGUUCAAGUUCCAGCCAAGUUUUUCCAGAAAGAUUAUUACAUCGCUGUUUGACCUGUGUGGUAAAAGGCAGUGCGCUAGCAUGAAUUAACUUGAGACAAAUGUGCACAUUAGCACUCAAUAAGUCAUCAAAACUUACCUUUAUGCAUUCCCACAUAGUAUCAGCAUUUGAGACCAAAUAUGAGGUGAAAGAAAAAUGGUAAAAAUACAGUAGUAGUCUAUCUGUACGGCAUGAGAUACAGUUAGUAUACACACAAUGGACAUGCGUCAAGUGAGGCGGAUGUAUCCGGCCACUUUUCAAAAUAAAACAUGAAAAAAGGAAAUAAUGGAAAUUAUUUUUUCUUUCUGCGCGGCCGGUACCAAAUGACCCGGGGUUUGGGGAUCACUGCUCUAGACAUAAACUAACACCCCUACAGUCACCCUUACACUCGUAUUACCCAAUAUAGUAGACAUAACAGGAAAGAAGUCAUUUAAGACAUAAAAAAGACUCAUGCUCAUGUGUGUUGCUAUAAAUGUGUCAGGAAACGCGGAGCUGUCGAGUGCUUGACCCCCAGCAUGCAGAGACAGGCGUCGGUGGUGGAAAAUAAAAAUACUUUAAUAAAGCAGGUGCAGUACUUGUGCAGGAUAUAACAACAAAAGGCAACAGGGGUGGAAAAAGGCUCUGUGAAAAAUAUGCACGGGAAUAAUAAACAGGGCGUAGGAAUGUUCACGUAACAGCACCGGCAACGAGCAAAGAAACAAUGAACCAGCGCCGCACCUUUUAAACCCCACUAAUUGCGAUUGCGGCCAGCUGUGCACAAUAACACCGGGGUGAAGCGGCUGCAGCCUCCCCCCAGCAGCACGUGCGGCACACUAAAAUAAGAGCGCAGGAGAGGAAGUGCUCACUCCUGUCCUGCGGAACAUGACAAAAUGUUUUCCCUAGACGAGAUGAGUGAAUGGGAUUGAUAGUUGUGCCUGUUGUGAGAUAAUCCAAACCUGCAAUAACAGCCUGUUGUUCCGGCGAUUAAUGACAUUGCUGACACCUAGUGACCAGUGUAGAAUACUACUACUUUGAAUGCGUCUUUUGCAUGCCUUAUAUUUGUAUUUUAGUUCAUUUUUAACCAUUUUUAUGCUUGAAAAUGAUUAAAUCAGGCAAAAAAAAUAUGGAACAUUAGAUUAAAUAUGCAUGUUUUGACUAAUAAUAGGCCUCAUUCCACUACAAAACAGCAUGAUUUAUUAAUUAAUAUAUUUUUGAAAACCCGUGAUAGAGUGAAGCCGCAAAAUUUGAGCCGCAAAAUGGCAAGAGAUGGCCUUACAGAUUUUUUUUUUUUUAUUUUGUAGAAAGUUUUUUUUUAAGUGAUACAUAUCUAAAGACAAAGCUUUGCAUUAAUAUUGGUUUGUGUCAACAUUUUCUCAUUGCGUCUUUUACUCUAUUUUUACCAUUUAUUUUAGUUUAUUGUGCUCAGUUUUGUUUUUUGCAUCGUGCCUCUGCUUCUGUGGCUCUUUGGGUUCAUCUGCGAGCAGAACACAACUACAGCGAGCCACGGUGGUUGAGGGGAGAGAGGGGGGAUUUUGUUGCUGCUGGAGCUGGUGGAUGUGUUACAACAGUCGGCCUUAACGACCCGUGGAGGUCAGACAUGUGGAUGAGCACGUGGUGUGCGCUGGCACCUCGGGGACUGGGCUCAGGGCAGGUUUGGCAGGAUGCGUGCCUGGAGAGUAGGGAAUCGUGCGGGCAUGUUCGGGGGUCAAAAUGCAUGCCUGUUGAUAUGGUCACUCUCCAGCAGGGGAGGGCACUGAUGUGAUAAUGCAUGUAUUUUUACACUGGCAAAGUCCCAAAGAUUGACUAAUUAAUUGCAAUCGAUGGGUUGGCGACCCCCGCUGUACAUAUAAUCAUGACAUGAAUGUAUUACCUUGAAUGAUGUAUCUGAGUGGGUAUUCUCAGGGCAAUGAAUCGAUUGCAACUGGACUGUGCAGGUUGUCUUAGAAGACAGUUGGCCUCUCAUCCAAGCAGCCUUUAUCAGUCCAUGCUGAAAGACUAGAUAGGACAGUUCUAUUUGGAAAAUUAUUAACAAUUGUGAUUCCACCUAAACUGGGCAGGCAGAAGUCUCACGGCACUGUACCUUAAAGACUGUCGUAAUAUAUUGUCCAAAACUCUAAAAUCAUCCCUUUUCAAGAAUUAACCCAGAAGUUCCACAUUUGUAAGUCAGUAUCUCCAGUAUUUACAGCUUAAAUCAACCAUGCUACCCCAAAUUAACAACAUACCUAACUCCCAAAACAAAACAAUCAUCAUAGAGGAAUUUUUGAACAUAGAUAAGUUACUUUCAAGGAUACAGACUUUGGCAAAAAGCCAAAUUUACAGCUCAUCCAAUUCAAGAUUAUCCACAGAAUGCACUACACGGGUGAAAGAUGAUAUAAAAUGGGUGUCACAACAUCAGAUCAAUGCACUUAUUGCUCACUGCACACCACAGGCAAUUACAUGCAUGCUUUCUGGCACUGUACACCUGUUAAGUUGUACAGUUUUGGACACAAGUCACGGCUCACCUGUCACAUAUAUUAGGCUGCACACUAUACACUGUUUAAAGCCCGAGCUGUCGCCAAGAAAACCGUCCUCCUAAACUAGGAAACAAGAAACAUGGAGAACAUGCAAACAUCAGAGUCCUGACCGUGUGGCCAACAUGCUAACCACUAGGCUACUAUGCAGUGAAUGUACAGUUUAAAGUACAACUAAAGCUACAUUUCUUUGGAGAAAUGUAAUGAUGAUAACAAAUAUAACUCAUAAGAGUUUAAUUUAAGAGCCGAUAUCUAGCAACUUCCAUGGUUUCC